UGUCUGUUGCACUCCCCCAACGUAUGAGCAAUACUUCCCAUGUUUUCAGCAGCACUUUUUGUAUACCCAAUGUGCAGGUGCAGCAAAUACCUUGGCAAGGGGGAAAGCGAUUAUCACUUAAGAAAACAGUAACACUGUAUAGUUCCUACUUCUUCAAGGUCUUGAGCAAAGCAUAAAUUCUCAUGAAAACGAACUCACUACACUUCAAGCAUCAGACAGCGAAGCAGGUAAGUCUUACUGUUGCUCAUAGUGCUGAUUUUACCGUAUUUUGUAAUUUAUAGGCUUUUUCUUUUUUUCUCUCCUGCAUUUGUUCAGUAAUUCAAAUAAGUAUUUUCUCAGGUCUUAAAUAUAAAAGCGUCAAAUAUUGUAAAAUAAUGCAAUAUACUGAGAAGGGGAUAUUGUUACUAACUUGUAAUUAACUUUCAGGUCAAGUCUACAGAGCUGCACUUCAUUUUUUCUGAGAACUCUGCGCUUUCUUGUUUACUCUUUCCGCAAGUGGAGUGGAUCGUGAUCUGGCUCGUUGUUCCUUUUUCCUAUGCAUAUACUUCUUUGAGAAUUGCUUCUAAAGAGGUAUAGGGCAUGGGAAAAUGGGGCAACAGAGGUACUUCACCACUCAUCUCAAGCAGCAUCGUGAAGGCAGCAGCAGAAAUGUUUGGAGAAAGCAGACGGGAGAAGAAAUGAAAGGUAAAUUUAUGGAACUCGCAAUUAAUCUUCAAAGCUUGCAUAGAAAGAUACCGGCACUAUUUACUGUGAUCUAACAUCUAAAUGUUGGUUUCCUCUUAAAAUCUGAUUUAUUACAAGAGCAAUGUUUUAAGCUUGUCUCCAAUGACAUUAUUAAAUAUAUCACUUGGUCUAAUGUAAGACACACGCCAUGCUAGGAAGUUGCUCCUGUGGGUCCUUAUUCCGUAAGUGUGCAAUUGAAAAGAGCAGAGAUGCAGCCACACAAAUGCCCAGAACUCUGCCCUUCCUCGCUGUCUCACAGGUGCUGGGAUCAGCCCCCCCAGAAUCCAGGUAAUGCUCACUCACCUGGGUAAAGCCCAGUCAUGCCAGUGCUGCCCAAGUGGGUUGUCUGUAAUAUAUCAAUUAUUCUCAGGAUUCUGUUCCUUCAGAUUCUAAGUACCUUUUACAUGAUGCAUGCAUGUGUGGGAUUGCAAAGUCUUCUCUUGUAAAACUCAGUUAAUGGUAAAUCAAAUUAAAAACAUAUUAAUUUUCUUUUCUUUUAUCCACAGGUGUCUUGGAGGUAGAAGUAGAACCUCUCUUUGCUCAUUUUAUUUAAUAGAAAAACAAUCAUUAAACACAAUUUUUAUGUAUUUGUCCAAUUACUUUAAAUAGCAAUGUGUCACAUCAGUUCUGGGGGGAAAAUAUUGGUUUUAUGAAACAAUGUAACUGUACAUAAUGCAUGUCAAAUAAAUAUUUGAUGUUUCAGUCAUAUAUCAAAAGUUUGUGUUACAUUGCAUCACAGUUUCUAACAAGUGUCAUAAAGCUGCGAGCUCAGAAAGAGCAAAACAAGGUGAAUUAAAAGUCAUUUUACCCAGUG